GCCCUUUGCUAUUAUAAACUGGUUACCAACGUAAUUAGACAGUAAAAAUACAUGUUUUGCCAUACCUGUGGUCUACGGUCUGAUAUACCACAGCUGUCAGCCAAUCAGCAUUCAGGGCUCGACCCACCCAGUUUAUAGUAAGGUGUAACUAACUUUGUGUAUACCAAAAUGCUGUUUUCAGUUAGACUAGUCAUUCCACUAGAUGGUACUGCUGCUGUCAUAAAUACAGAGCACAGGAAGAAAGCAUGAUGUGUGUCUGGAAAUACCAUCAGAACUACACAUACAAUCAGAACUACACAGUACAAUCAGAACUACACAGUACAAUCAGAACUACACAGUACAAUCAGAACUAUACAGUACAAUCAGAACUACACGUACAACGAACUACACAGUACAAUCAGAUUACACAUACAUCAACUACACAGUACAAUCAGAAAUAUAUCAAAUACACUGAAUGGACAAAACCUGUCUUUCCAGAACGACUGACCAGGUGAAUCCAGGUGAAAGAUAUGAUCCCAUAUUGAUGUCACCUGUUAAAUCCACUUCAAUCAGUGUAGAUAAAGGGGAGGAGACGGGUUAAUAGGAGUGUUAAGCCUUGAGACAAUUGAGACAUGGACGUAUAUGUGUGCCAU
rnacentral:lncRNA from 1 species